GACUUAAAAUCCGUCGAUUUUAAAAAUCGUGAGG
rnacentral:tRNA from 1 species